rnacentral:SRP_RNA from 1 species
GCUGGGUUCGGUGGCAUGUGCCUGUAGUCCCAGUUACUCAGGAGGCUGAGGCUGGAGGAUCACUUGAGCCCAGGAGUUCUGGGCUGUAGCACUAUGCCGAUCGGGUGUCCGCACUAAGUUCGGCAUCAAUAUGGUGACCUCCCAGGGGCAGGGGACCACCAGGUUGCCUAAGGAGGGAUGAACCGGCCAAGGUCGAAAAUGGAGCAGGUCAAAACUCCCAUGCUGAUCAGUAGUGGGAUCGCGCCUGUGAAUAGCCACUGCACUCCAGCCUGGGCAACAUAGCGAGACCCCAUCUCU